AUUGAACGCUGGCGGAAUGCUUUACACAUGCAAGUCGAACGGCAGCACGGGUGCUUGCACCUGGUGGCGAGUGGCGAACGGGUGAGUAAUAUAUCGGAACGUAUCCAAUAAUGGGGGAUAACUAGCCGAAAGGUUAGCUAAUACCGCAUACGCCCUGAGGGGGAAAGCUGGGGAUCGUAAGACCUAGCGUUGAUGGAGCGGCCAAUGUCUGAUUAGCUAGUUGGUGGGGUAAGAGCUUACCAAGGCGACGAUCAGUAGCUGGUCUGAGAGGACGACCAGCCACACUGGAACUGAGACACGGACCAGACUCCUACGGGAGGCAGCAGUGGGGAAUUUUGGACAAUGGGGGCAACCCUGAUCCAGCCAUUCCGCGUGAGUGAAGAAGGCCUUCGGGUUGUAAAGCUCUUUCGCAAGGGAAGAAAACUCGAUCUCUAAUAUAGGUUGAGGCUGACGGUACCUUGAUAAGAAGCACCGGCUAACUACGUGCCAGCCGCCGCGGUAA
rnacentral:rRNA from 1 species